AUUGAACACUGGCGGCAUGCCUUACACAUGCAAGUCGAACGGUAACAGGUCUUCGGAUGCUGACGAGUGGCGAACGGGUGAGUAAUACAUCGGAACGUGCCUAGUAGUGGGGGAUAACUACUCGAAAGAGUGGCUAAUACCGCAUGAGAUCUACGGAUGAAAGCAGGGGAUCGCAAGACCUUGUGCUACUAGAGCGGCCGAUGGCAGAUUAGGUAGUUGGUGGGAUAAAAGCUUACCAAGCCGACGAUCUGUAGCUGGUCUGAGAGGACGAUCAGCGACGCUGGGACUGAGACACGGCGCAGACUACUACGGGAGGCAGCAGUGGGGAAUUUUGGACAAUGGGCGCAAGCCUGAUCCAGCAAUGCCGCGUGCAGGAUGAAGGCCUUCGGGUUGUAAACUGCUUUUGCACGGAACGAAAAGCCCCGGGUUAAUACCCUGGGGUCAUGACGGUACCGUAAGAAUAAGCACCGGCUAACUACGUGCCAGCAGCCGCGGUAA
rnacentral:rRNA from 1 species